AGCAGCCGCGGUAAUUCCAGCUCCAAUAGCGUAUAUUAAAGUUGUUGCAGUUAAAAAGCUCGUAGUUGAAUUUCGGGGUUAGUAGGUUGGUCAUGCCUCUGGUAUGUACUGGUCUCACUGAUUCCUCCUUCCUGAUGAGCCGUAAUGCCAUUAAUUUGGUGUUGCGGGGAAUCUGGACUGUUACUUUGAAAAAAUUAGAGUGUUUAAAGCAGGCUAACGCUUGAAUACAUUAGCAUGGAAUAAUGAAAUAGGACGUUCGAUCCUAUUUUGUUGGUUUCUAGGAUUGACGUAAUGAUUAAUAGGGAUAGUUGGGGGCAUUAGUAUUCAAUUGUCAGAGGUGAAAUUCUUGGAUUUAUUGAAGACUAACUACUGCGAAAGCAUUUGCCAAGGAUGUUUUCAUUAAUCAAGAACGAAAGUUAGGGGAUCGAAGACGAUCAGAUACCGUCGUAGUCUUAACCAUAAACUAUGCCGACUAGGGAUCGGAUGAUGUUAAUUUUUAAUGA
rnacentral:rRNA from 1 species